UGAAAGACCGUACCUAACAAGUGGACGGCUGUAUAAAGGCUUGGUUUAUCGAUAAUACAAGAAUACGAACUACCUACCUUUACAUAAAGAGCAAGCCAUCUAUGUCUAUUCUUAAAAAUCAUAACUUUGGUAUCAACUUUAUCUCAGCCAUUGCAGCCCUUGGACCCAUCACGGCCAGAGGUGAGGAGGUGCUGGGCUUGCUGGUGAAGCACGCUGGUUGCCUGGGCGCCAUCAUGGCUCUGCCACUUCUAGCUGGGGGUCUCUGGGCAAAUUAAUAUGACUUAAGCUCUCUGUGUCUCAGUUUUCUUAUCUGAAGUGGAGAUAAUAAUAGCCCCUGGGGCACAUAGUAACCAUGGCUAGAAUGUGAGCACGUAACUGUUUUGCCCCAUAGCAUUCCCACUCACUUAGAAAAGUGUGAGUGACCCCCCCACCAUGUUUUAACCCUACAAUAUUUUCUGUUUCUCACCCUAAGCUUUUAGGCAAAAAGCUUGAGAGGUCUUCACAGUAGAAGUAUGUCCCUUACACCAGAGUGUGACUAGCACAAGGUCCCCCACCCUGAUUCGAACACUGCAGUUCCAACAUGCCACCAAACCACGAAUAGGGCACAGUAAGACAGCCUCAAGCAGUGAAAUGCUACAAAAAGCUUAAAUGGGCGACAGCAGAUAACAUGCAGCCUAAUCGAUGGAAGGAACACUGUUAAAGGAGGGAGGGAGAGAGCGUCUCAUCAAGAAAGGUCCCCCACCUGCCGCCCACACAAAAAAAAGUAAGAUUAGCAACGCUCAUCUAACGGGGCGGGAGAUAGGUAGCUGGACUGAGGCCAUAGUGUCCUAUCCAGGAAGGCAGUCACGUCACACCACAUGAGGAGCCCCACCAAACUUCAGCAUCAACCACAUUUCUGAUUACAAUUUAGCUUCCCAGAUAGACAUGUCUAUAGCUAAUCGCAAACAUGCCCAUCUGGAUCCUCCUAACAGCUCUCCUCACAUAAAUCUGCCUUCUGGCCUGUCUCAAGUCUCGUAAGUUUGGUAAAUACACAGACGUCUAAGGAUCUAUUUGCUGGGCAGGACAGAGGUGAAAAGUGGCCCCUGCAGGACGGUGCUUUGGCCAAGGCAACGCCUUCCCGCAGGCACAUACUCUGUCACUGAGCCUCUGAGCACCUGGUGAUGCUGAGCACCGCACUGGGCCCUGGGACAUGCGUCCCAGUCGCUGUAUGAAGGAGCUCACAGACUGGAAGCCCACUGUCAGUCCCGCUCACUAAGCAACAUUUCUACCAGACUUCAACCUCUAGCCUGGCCAAUUCCAGCCUCAGCACCACAGACAGGAGGCAGCCAGGCCUGACCAUCCAGGCUGACCAGCACGGAAAGGCCCUGGCAGUUCUCUCCCAGGGCUGUUUCAAGCCCCAUGACAACUGGCCUGCUCCAAGUCACACUACCAGGAACUGGCAAGGUGAGGCAGGAUUUGGAGUUGAGUCCCUUGGACUGAAGAGCUUGCCCCCUCCGCAUUCUGCAGCAGGCAGCCAGCUCUCAAGGACAAGCAGAUGCCUGGGGUAGGCCUUCCUUACCCCGCGGGACCACCUUCACCUCGGUGCUGCGGCUGACCGCCUGGCUUCCACGGUAGGCGCUGCAUGUGUAGGAGCCCUCGUCCCUGGCCCGCAGGUUGUGGAUCAGCAGUGUGCCAUCCGGGGACUGGUGGACACGGUGGCCAUCAGCCCGCACCGGCAGCCCGUUCCUGGAGGGGAGAGGACGCUGGGAGAGCUGUCCAGGCCCUCAUCUUCAGGCCCUGGGAAGCUGUGCCAGCCCUCCCGGGGCCAGGAGGAGGAGGUGACCCAAGGCCACUCCAGAGCCAACGACUCCCUCUUCGCGGCCCCUCACCUUAAGGAAGGGAUGGGUCUGGUACCAAGAUGAUAGACCAGCAACGCCGAAGCAAAAUACCUCGGAAGUGAGGUGGACUCACACCAGCUGAUCUAAGUGUAGCUCUGACCCUUAUCCCCAGGAGUCUCUCUCUCUCCCUCUUCAUCCACAGAGGUCCUCUAAGCAGCGGGAUGAAGGACAUGAGCAUCCCUGCCUCCAAGGAGGUGGGGCGGGGUGCAGGUGGUAGGGGAGCCUUCCCUAAGGAGGACAGCUGGCCGAGGCCUGACCUGAGGGUGAGGAGGAGCGGCUGGCUGACGGAGGACACGGGGACUCGGGGGUUUGAAGGAAAGCCACGGCUGGAGCAAGGAGAGUGGGCGUAGGAGGAGGUGCGCACGGCUCCGGUCAGGAGUCUGGACCGGAUCCUGGGGGUAAGCGAGGGGUGUGAGCUGAGCAGGACUGACAACGCCACGUGUGCUUGGAAAGCAUCACCAACCGCAGCGUGGGGCAGGGACAAGCCCAAGGGCAGAGGCCAGGGCUACUCAAGGUGAAGUGAGAGAGAGAAAAGCCGAGGACCAAGGACCAAGGACAGACCUCAAGGUACACCAGCCUCUCAGAGAGAGGGAUGUGAUGAGCGGGCCAGGAAAAGAGAAGCAGCAGCUGGAGAAGCAGGAAGGAGACUGCAGGUCAUGUGGGACUGAGUCUGUUCAAGGACUGAGGAACGGAGAGGGGUGUCCUGAGCAUGUUUGCUGCUGGGAAGAUCCAGGCCUGAUAGGAUAAUCACAGCCACAGCUGAUCAGGGCAGGGCCGGCUGAGAGCACCAGCUGAGAAGCCUGCAGAGGCUCCCACCACCUUCCCUGGCAUCAAGGCCACAGAGAAGCAGCCGACCUCCGUGACCCUCACCGCUCCUGCCAGUGUGCGGGCCCAUUCCCAUCCUGGCAUCAUCGCUCCAAUACUCACAGUUGAGGCUUGACCAAGAACAUCCUUCCCUUCAUCCGUUCUCCCAGACAGGAGACAACCUCACCCCACUGUGCACAGACGCACUUAGGGCAAACCUCUGGAGCCUGGGGGACACUGGGCCAUCUCCUGCCUGGGAGUUUCUGGGGGGCUCAGAUUACCCCAGGAUCCCCAGAGCCUAGCCCAAUCCUGACAUAUUGCAAGGAGGAAGUGGGCAAAAAACCGCUGAAUGAAUAAAAGACCAACAGAUUUGGAGCAAAAGACCACUGAAGUCCUCAAAGCUGUGUGCAGCCCAGGGUUUCUCAACGCCAGUGGAGAUUCUGUCACCCAGGAAACAUUUGGCAACAUCUGGAGGCUUUUUAUCGCCAUGACUUGGGAGGGAGCACCGCCGGCAUCCGGCAGGUAGACGGCCUGGAUGCUGCGAGACGUCCUCCAGCGCACCCCAACAGAUGAACACGUCAGCCCAAAAUCUCAACAGUGCCGAGGUUGAGAAACCCGGGGUAGCCCGAUCAACAGAAAAGAGCAGUCCCAGGGGGCUUGCGUGUGUCGGAAGCCCCCCCUUCCCUGACACCAGGCCGGGAGGCAGGAGUGGAAGAAUAAGCGGUGGGGGCGGUGGUGACCGCAGCGUCCUGCAGGAAGGUGCACCCCCCGUCUGGGCUGUACCCCCUCAGGUACGAGGGCCCGAGGGCCAGGCCGGCCUGGAGCAGAGCCUUACCUGGACCAUCUGAUGGUCACGCUUUCGCCCGCCACCGCACACAGCAGCCUGGCCGUGUCACCUUCUGGCACCAUCACCGUAGAGGGCAGCCCUGUGAUUGUCAGCUCCCCUGGGCCCAAGGAGGGGGCACUGUCAGCCACCACGCCCAACCUGCACCACCUGACCUCAGAGGCCACCGGCCACACUCACCCUCCCGCCCGGGACUGCCGCCUUACCCAGAACUCUGAGCUGGACCCAGUGCUGGUCUCGGUCCUGCCCGUUGACUGCAACACAGGUAUAGAAGCCUCCAUCUUCCACAGCCACGCGGCUGAUGACCAGGGAGCCGUCGGACUGCAGCUGGUGUCUGGGGGCCAAGCACAAUCAGGCGUCCCCACCCCAAGGCACCUGGCAGGGGGCAGGAGGGGCAGGAUCUUCCCUCCCCUGGUGAGAGGCUGAGCAGCCCCUGCCGUCAGUGGGAUCUGACCAAGGGCCAGUCGGCCUCAGGCCCUGAGGCCCUCCAGCUGCUGGCACUCUCCUUAAAGAUGCCUGACUUUAGAGCC